rnacentral:rRNA from 1 species
GAUGAACGCUGGCGGCGUGCCUAAUACAUGCAAGUCGAGCGAACAGACGAGGAGCUUGCUCCUCGGACGUUAGCGGCGGACGGGUGAGUAACACGUGGAUAACCUACCUAUAAGACUGGGAUAACUUCGGGAAACCGGAGCUAAUACCGGAUAAUAUAUUGAACCGCAGGGUUCAAUAGUGAAAGACGGUGUUGCGGGCACGUAUAGAGGGAUCCGCGCCGCAUUAGCUAGUUGGUAAGGUAACGGCUUACCAAGGGAAGUAGGCGUAACCGACCUCAGAGGGUGAUCGGCCACACUGGAACUGAGCCACGGUCCAGACUCCUACGGGAGGCAGCAGUCGCGAAUCUUCCGCAGCGGGCGAAAGCCUGACGGAGCAACGCGGCGUGAGUGAUGAAGGUCUUCGGAUCGUAAAACUCUGUUAUUAGGGAAGAACAAAUGUGUAAGUAACUAUGCCCGUCUUGACGGUACCUAAUCAGAAAGCCCCGGCUAACUACGUG